rnacentral:lncRNA from 14 species
GUAAAGCCCCACUGGAAAACGGCUGUAAUGUGAUGUGAUGUGAAGGACAGUGCCGUUGAACGCCUCCGUGGGGCCGUCCCGGCGGGUAGCACUGAUGGGGUACCUGCCUUUGGCCGGGGACUGAGGAGAGGAAGAGGAGGUGAUCUGCACCUUGCUGUUUGGCCUGCGUCACCCCGGGGACGCAGUAAUGGGGCAGCUGGACACACUGACUACAACGCAGUCUGCUUCUAACGAGGCUGCAUUACCUGAAGAGACUGAAACAAUAAACCCCACUUGCAAAUUAAGGCUGACUUUUUUCCCUAUGAAAGGUUUGAAAGGGUAAGGAAUCAAAAGGAGAGCUGAAUGACU